UACAGAGGUCUCAAGCGUUGUUCGGAUUCAUUGGGCGUAAAGGGUGCGUAGGUGGCGCUGUAAGUCGGGUGUGAAAUUUCGGAGCUUAACUCCGAAACUGCAUUCGAUACUGCGGUGCUUGAGGACUGGAGAGGAGACUGGAAUUCAUGGUGUAGCAGUGAAAUGCGUAGAGAUUAUGAGGAAGACCAGUGGCGAAGGCGGGUCUCUGGACAGUUCCUGACACUGAGGCACGAAGGCCAGGGGAGCAAACGGG
rnacentral:rRNA from 1 species